GCGGAGGAGGCGGAGGAGGAGGAGGAGGCUGCGGCGGCAGCGGCGGCGGUGAGAAGAUGGCGAUUUCGAACAAUCCGCGGAAAUUCAUCGAGAAGAUCGCGCUGCACAAUCAGAAGCAGGCGGAGGAGACAGCGGCCUUCGAGGAGGUCAUGAAGGACCUGAGCCUGACGCGGGCCGCGCGGCUCCAGCUCCAGAAAUCCCAGUACCUGCAACUGGGCCCGAGCCGCGACCAGUACUACGGCGGGUCCUUGCUCAAUGUGAACCAGAUUGGGAGUGGCAUCAUGCACCUGCCCUUCCAGACCCCCUUCCAAUCCUCGGGUCUGGACACCGGCCGGACCACCCGACACCACGGGCUGGUGGACAGGGUGUACCGGGAGCGUGGCCGGCUCGGCUCCCCGCACAGCCGGCCCCUGUCAGUGGACAAACACGGACGGCAGGCCGACAGCUGCCCCUACGGCACGGUGUACCUCCGGCCACCCGCGGACACCAGCUGGAGAAGGACCAAUUCUGACUCCGCACUGCACCAGAGCACAAUGACGCCCACACAGCCAGAAUCCUUUACCAGUGGGUCCCAGGACGUGAACCAGAAAAAAGUCUUACUGUUAACAGUCCCAGGAAUGGAAGAGACCACAUCAGAGGCAGACAAAAACCUUUCCAAGCAAGAGUGGGACACCAAGAAGACGGGGUCCAGGCCCAAGUCCUGUGAGGUCCCCAGAAUCAACAUCUUCCCAUCUGCCGACCAGGAAAACACUACAGCCCUGAUCCAGGCUACCCACAACACUGGGGGCUCCCUGCCCGACCUGACCAACAUCCACUUCCCCUCCCCGCUCCCGAUCCCGCUGGACCCCGAGGAGCCCACCUUCCCCGCGCUGAGCAGCUCCAGCAGCACCGGCAACCUCGCGGCCAACCUGACGCACCUGGGCAUCGGCGGCGCCGGCCAGGGAAUGAGCACACCUGGGUCCUCUCCGCAGCACCACCCAGCCGGCGUCAGCCCCUUGUCCCUGAGCACAGAGGCGAGGCGUCAGCAAACAUCGCCCACCCUGUCCCCGCUGUCACCCAUCACUCAGGCCGUGGCCAUGGAUGCCCUGUCUCUGGAGCAGCAGCUGCUCUACGCCUUCUUCACCCAGGCGGGCUCCCAGCAGCCGCCGCCGCAGCCCCAGCCCCCGCCGCCCCCUCCGCCAGCGUCACAGCAGCCGCCGCCCCCACCACCCCCGCAGGCGUCCGUCCGCCUGCCCCCCGGCGGCCCCCUGUUGCCCAGCGCCAGCCUGGCUCGUGGGCCACAGCCACCCCCCAUCGCGGUCACGGUACCGUUCUCUCUCCCCCAGCGCCCCCCAGAGAACCCCGGCCAGCCGUCGAUGGGGAUCGACACCGCGUCGGCGCCGGCUCUGCAGCAGUACCGCACGCACGCCUGCUCCCCGGCCAACCAGUCUCCCACCUCGCCAGCCUCCAAUCAAGGCUUCUCCCCGGGGAGCUCCCCGCAACACACUUCCACCCUGGGCAGCGCGUUUGGGGACGCGUACUAUGAGCAGCUGAUGGCGGCCAGGCAGGCCAACGCUCCGUCCCACCAGCUGGAGCGGUUCAGCACGAUGGAGAACGCCAUCAGCUCCAGCAGCCUGUACGGCCCCGGCUCCACGCUCAACGACUCGCAGGCGGCCAUGAUGGGCCUCACGGGCAGCCACGGGAGCCUGCCGGACUCGCGGCAGCUGCGCUACGCCGGCCACAGCGGUGUCCCCAACAUCAUCCUCACGGUGACAGGAGAGUCCCCCCCCAGCCUCUCUAAAGAACUGACCAGCUCUCUGGCCGGGGUCGGCGACGUCAGCUUCGACUCCGACAGCCAGUUUCCCCUGGAUGAACUCAAGAUCGACCCCCUGACCCUCGACGGCCUGCACAUGCUCUACGACCCCGACAUGGUUCUGGCCGACCCGGCCACCGAGGACGCCUUCCGGAUGGACCGUCUGUGAGCGGGCACGCCCGGCGUCCUGCGGUUCAGCCGUCCUGACGGCGCCCCCCCCAGCCCGGGGCCGACCGCGCUCCGUCCCUCGCCCCAACUGCUGAGUUUGUGAUUCUGAGCUUGCAACGCCCCCCGCCGGCCCGCCCCCGGUUUUCCACCUCCCGCGAAGCCCAAUCACGAGGCCGCGAGCUGGGCCUUCCACCCGCGCGCCGGGGGCAGGGCUGGGAUAGGAGGUCAUGAGCCCCCCGCCCCCGCAGACCCUCCCUGCAUGGGCUCUCUUGCCCCCAGCCCCGGGGCCUGAGCUGUCGUCCCCUGUAAGAUGCGGGAAGUGUCGGCUCCUGGCGUGGCGGGCAGGCUCAGGGGAGGGGCGCGCAUGGUCCACCAGCGCUGUGGGCAGCGAUGCAUUUUCCGACUGUUUGCCCAGCUCUCACUGCCUUCCUCGGUUCCCGGUCCCCCAACCCAUCCGCCACCCCCAGCCCGUGGUCAGAUGAGAGUGAGCCCCACAUGCCGCCCCAGGGAGGAGGCGCCAGAGCACUGGGCAGACACAAAGUGUAAUAAACACUAUUUU